UUUCCGUAGGUGAACCUGCGGAAGGAUCAUUACCUAGAGUUGCGGGCUUUGCCUGCCAUCUCUUACCCAUGUCUUUUGAGUACCUUCGUUUCCUCGGCGGGUUCGCCCGCCGAUUGGACAAAACUUAAACCCUUUGUAAUUGAAAUCAGCGUCUGAAAAAAACAUAAUAGUUACAACUUUCAACAACGGAUCUCUUGGUUCUGGCAUCGAUGAAGAACGCAGCGAAAUGCGAUAAGUAGUGUGAAUUGCAGAAUUCAGUGAAUCAUCGAAUCUUUGAACGCACAUUGCGCCCCUUGGUAUUCCAUGGGGCAUGCCUGUUCGAGCGUCAUUUGUACCUUCAAGCUCUGCUUGGUGUUGGGUGUUUGUCUCGCCUCUGCGCGCAGACUCGCCUCAAAACGAUUGGCAGCCGGCGUAUUGAUUUCGGAGCGCAGUACAUCUCGCGCUUUGCACUCACAACGACGACGUCCAAAAAGUACAUUUUUACACUCUUGACCUCGGAUCAGGUAGGGAUACCCGCUGAACUUAAGCAUAUCAAUAAGCGGAGGAAA
rnacentral:rRNA from 1 species